UACGUAGGGUGCGAGCGUUGUCCGGAAUUAUUGGGCGUAAAGGGCUCGUAGGCGGUUUGUCACGUCGGGAGUGAAAACCAGGUGCUUAACACCUGGCUUGCUUUCGAUACGGGCGGACUAGAGGUAUUCAGGGGAGAACGGAAUUCCUGGUGUAGCGGUGAAAUGCGCAGAUAUCAGGAGGAACACCGGUGGCGAAGGCGGUUCUCUGGGAAUAUCCUGACGCUGAGGAGCGAAAGUGUGGGGAGCGAACAGG
rnacentral:rRNA from 1 species